AUGCCUUAGACAUGCCAGAUGGUCUGGGG
rnacentral:piRNA from 1 species